UACGGGGGGGGGCAAGCGUUGUUCGGAAUUACUGGGCGUAAAGGGCUCGUAGGCGGCCAACUAAGUCAGACGUGAAAUCCCCAGGCUUAACCUGGGAACUGCGUCUGAUACUGGAUGGCUUGAAUUCGGGAGAGGGAUGCAGAAUUCCAGGUGUAGCGGUGAAAUGCGCAAAUAUCAGGAGGAACACCGGUGGCGAAGGCGGGUCUCUGGGCCGUAACUG
rnacentral:rRNA from 1 species